rnacentral:RNase_MRP_RNA from 1 species
GCACACACUAGGAGCUCGGUCUUCCUCUCGAGCUGCGGGGAAAGAUCCCGUGCCCUUGGUCAGAGAGUGCUGGCGGGAGCCCGGCCUGGCCGUUUGCGGCGAGGCCUCUUGGCGGAGCCAGGGCGGCGGGUUAGGGGCCGCUUGCAGCAGCACAGCCAUGCCGUGAGCGCCCUCGAAGGAGGGCGCCAACAGAACGGGGCUCACUCUC